rnacentral:rRNA from 1 species
CAAUAGCGUAUAUUAAAGUUGUUGCGGUUAAAAAGCUCGUAGUUGGAUUUCUGCUGAGAACGACCGGACCGCCCUUUGGGUGUGUAUCUGGCUCUUUCUUGGCAUCUUCUUGGUGAACGUUGCUGCACUUGACUGUGUGGAGCACUACCCAGGACUUUUACUUUGAGGAAAUUAGAGUGUUUCAAGCAGGCAUACGCCUUGAAUACAUUAGCAUGGAAUAAUAAGAUAGGACCUCGGUUCUAUUUUGUUGGUUUCUAGAGCUGAGGUAAUGAUUAAUAGGGAUAGUUGGGGGCAUUCGUAUUUAACUGUCAGAGGUGAAAUUCUUGGAUUUGUUGAAGACGGACUACUGCGAAAGCAUUUGCCAAGGAUGUUUUCAUUGA